rnacentral:misc_RNA from 1 species
UGGUGGGAAGGAGAGGAAACAACCCAAAAUCGAAGGCCCCAUCUGCUCACACUCACAGCAUUUCAUUAGUAUGGUUUUAGUUCCAUUUACCAAAGAAGUGAUCUACUACUCAUAGUUACUUGAACCCAAGGAUACUCAGAUAUGGAUAGUGUUUUGUGAAGAAUCUAUAAGAUUAUGGAUUAGAAGCAUGAGAAUGCAUCACUAUAAUAACAAAUUUGGCUUAUGUUUAACAGAAAGGUUGGGUUUCUAGCAUACAUGUAUCAAGCAUGAUUAAAUAUACAUAUAACCUUUACUCUAAUUAAGAUUAACCUUUUGUUUGGAUCCUUA